AAAAGUUUUUUAUGCUUAAAUUUAUUGUAUUAUUGAAUUUUAUAUGUAAAUUUUUGUAAGAAUUAUAAUUAAUUUUUAAUAGGUUAGUUAGUUAAAAUAAAUUCGCAGUAAAAAGUUUUAAUUUAUUUAAGAAAUUAAGAAUUAAUUAAAAUAUUUAAAAAUUAACUAAAUUUGUGCCAGCAGUUGCGGUUACACAGAUAAUUUAACAAUAAAAGUUUGGUUAAAAUUAAUAGAUAAAUAAGAGUUUAAAUUAAAUAUUAUUAGGUGAAAUUUUAAUGUUUAUAUAAGCUUAUUAAUUAAUUAUGAAGUUUGAAAAUUUUAAUUUUAAACUAGGAUUAGAUACCCUAUUAUUUAAAAUAAGAUAAAUUAUGCUUGAUUAGUAGUAGUUAUGGUCUUGAAAAUUAAAGAAAUUGGCGGUAUUUUAGUCUAUUCAGAGGAAUUUGUCCUGUAAUCGAUAUUCCACGAUUUAUUAUACUUAUUUUUUAAUUUACAUAUCGCCGUAGAUUGAAUAUUUUUAUAGGAAUUUUAAUGUUCAAGAUUUAUUUUAUAAAAGAAAUCAGGUCAAGGUGUAGUUUAUAAAUGAGAAGAGAUGAAUUACAAUAAAUUUAUUUAAAAUGAAUUAAAAAUUGAAAAAAAUUUAUGAAGGUGGAUUUGAAAGUAAUUUUAAUUAAAUAGUUAAAAUGAUUAAAGCUCUAAAAUAUGUACAUAUCGCCCGUCGCUUUCACUACAAAGUGGAAUAAGUCGUAACAUAGUAGGUAUACUGGAAAGUGUACCUAGAAAGAUC
rnacentral:ncRNA from 1 species